rnacentral:rRNA from 1 species
CGGACGGGUGAGUAACACGUGGAUAACCUACCUAUAAGACUGGGAUAACUUCGGGAAACCGUAGCUAAUACCGGGUAAUAUUUUGAACCGCAUGGUUCAAAAGUGAAAGACGGUCUUGCUGUCACUUAUAGAUGGAUCCGCGCUGCAUUAGCUAGUUGGUAAGGUAACGGCUUACCAAGGCAACGAUGCAUAGCCGACCUGAGAGGGUGAUCGGCCACACUGGAACUGAGACACGGUCCAG